rnacentral:rRNA from 1 species
UACGUAGGUGGCGAGCGUUGUCCGGAUUUACUGGGCGUAAAGGGAGCGUAGGCGGACUUUUAAGUGAGAUGUGAAAUACUCGGGCUCAACUUGAGUGCUGCAUUUCAAACUGGAAGUCUAGAGUGCAGGAGAGGAGAAUGGAAUUCCUAGUGUAGCGGUGAAAUGCGUAGAGAUUGGGAAGAACACCAGUGGCGAAGGCGAUUCUCUGGACUGUGACUGACGCUGAGGCUCGAAAGCGUGGGGAGCAAACAGG